AGACCAUGAUGAGGACAACGCCUAAGCAAUUAUUUGUAUCUUUCCCAAGCUUCAUACAAUGGUUCCGAAUCUUGUUGCAUGAAUGAUGUGAUGUGAUGUCGCAUUUU
rfam:Theobroma cacao cultivar Matina 1-6 chromosome 3, whole genome shotgun sequence.